ACGUCACAAGCGACAAAAAGCGGGUUUCGCGGAAAACAGCAUUACAUUUACUUUAACGUAUAUAUGUAUAUACAUUAGCUGAUAAGAUAUUUUCAUCGAAAUCGUGCUGUUACGAAAACCGUAAUGCAACCGGCUGUUUGCGAAACAAAUGUUCACGCUCUCGCAUCCUACAAGCAAUUAUUUCGCACGCCUGUUGCUAAUUAAUUAGCGUAAAAUAUAUAAAAUCGGGCGAUCUCGGGGAUUAUCGAUCCAGACGAUCGUGCACGUUUGUGUCUAUUGUCGAAAAGUGUGCUGCGAUUUUGGCAAUUACUGUAACUUACGUUGACCCACGAUCAUCAUCAGUUCCGUUCUGCUUUUUAAAAUGUACCGCAAUUUUGAAAGUAGGCUGUUAUAGCUAAUCGACUCUGUUUCGUGCAUAUUUUGCAUAUACCACUAGAUAUCACCUUAAGAACUCGUUAUAUUCAACCUUGGAUCACUUAGUGUGAUUUAUGAUGAAAGCAGAAUUCAUUCGUUCUAUAAAAGUCAAUGGCCUUUUACUAAUUUUGACGUGGUUUAUUUUUUAUCUUCUAGAGGUAAAAGGCAAAAACGAUCAACUCGUUUCGUACUAUGCAAAUCAUUAAACAAACACGUUUCUACUUCUAUGUGGAAUGUACUUUCAAGCUAUUACUUAAAAAUUUUAUGAAAACUUAUCUCCUUCUACAACAUAAAACUUAAAUGUAAAAUACACAUUUGCAAUGCAGAUGUUUCAAAUUUUAGCAGUACAAUCGUGAUAUUUUAUUGCAGUACAGUAAUGUAAUUCCAAAAUGAUCUAGUUUAUAUGAUACACACAAUGCACGUGAUUUAAAAGUUCCUUGUGGCAAGUGGUCAAAUACUUUCGUACGCUGUAAUUACUGCAUAAGUUUUACUUACUAAUUUAAUUACUACAUAAUUUUAUUGCAGCGUAGAAAGUAAAACGUCAGUUUGUAAUUUUUCAUCGAUGAAUUCUCGUCACGUUCGUAACAAGACUGAAACAGUGCGCUACGUGGUGAAUCAUUAAGCCAGUAAAUGCGUGUAUAAUCGUCCUCGUUGCUCAUGGACAUCCGAGCAACUGUCCGAUGCGUUUCAUCCCUAUAAGGACUACAUCAGAUUGUUGAAUUAAUGACGGUGCAACCUGACCCAUGAACCUCGAUUCCAAUUUCAACAUGAACCGUGCGACCAGUCUAAACACCGGUUUUUGUACGCCUCCGCGGUCUACGAGCCUUCCUGUUGCGCGAGCCAGCAAUGCCUCCUUCAUGCGGAUGAGCAAGGGCACGAGAAAACAAAAAGCAGCGAGAAGAAAAAGAAGAGAAAAAAAUAUAAACCACGAAGAGACGAAUCAAAUUCCAGUGCUACUUCGUGCUCGAUCCUCCCCGCUAACGGGAAGCGAAUUCCAGAAAACUAGCUGAACACGAAUGCCAUACGAUUAACCCGUUCGGCUCUCCCUCGCUUCACAGCCACGAUCCAUCAAAACUUUUAGUUAGCUCUCAGGAAAGUUAAUUGGACUUUCUGCACGAGAACGAACCGAGUGCGUUAUUAACGUGGCCUGUUUGCACAAACUGCGUCGAACGAAAUGGUUCGAUCUUCUUUUACGAACGUAAUUUGACCGAACUGUUGUUACUUCCGUAUUGUUCGUGUUUUCGCAAUUCUUUGGAUGCAAACACACUUGUGUUGCGCAAGUAUCCGGGCAUUUUCGUCAGAUUUGUAAAUAACAGUACGUAAAUUUUAGCGAAGCGUGCCAUUUAAUGGCAAAUUACUUGGCCGCCUCCUUGGUGGCCAUAAUUUUCAACAACCGUGCCACUUGUACGUGAUAUUGCAUUAGUAGAGUGCAGAUCUUUGCACAAUUAUAAUGAAAAUGAAAGUAUAGAAAUACACUUGCAACAUGUGCCGGAUAAAACAAAUCUCUAUAAAAUAUAAAAUUGUAUAAAUAUCUAAUUUCAUAAAGAACAAAUUCAGAACGUAAUCAGACUUACUGCCAAUUCUACAGGCAAGUGUUCCAGAUACUUUUUUUAACGAUACUGUGUAUGUUUCAGGCACGUUUUACACUCUCAUUAAGGAGGAAAAUCAAACGAUCGUUUCUUCUGAUUCACUUCACUUGGUUAAAGAAGAAAAAAUGGAAGAUACGUUUCUCUUUAGUAAUCAAUUGCACGCGACAUUACCUACUUGUUUCCCAUGUUAUUCAACGCGUUAUAAACUCAGAAUUGAUUUUUUCAGUCUACUAGCUCUCGCGAUGUUCGACGAUACAAUAGUGAAUAGUUUGAUGAAUCUGUAGCAGUUCACGUGUGCGAAAUUCAAUACUUUAUCUAGGCAUUCUUAGUAAAAUUUUAUCAAUUGUUUAUCGCGAUCGAUAGAGGGCCUUUGAUUUGACAGUGCGUCACCGCGAGGUAAAAGCGUCGCCUGCGCGUCUCCAAUGGAUUUUAAUGGAUGGACAUGGAUUUAAUUGAAUACAUUGUAACAUUUUAAAUACGUGGAUCGAAGCCAAGGUUGAUUUUGCUGUUGAUCGUCGAUGACACAAACGAGAUGUCUCUUUGAUGACCAUUUUUUGUGACUCAGGCAUCUCGAGCUGACAUCAAAGCGGUGAUAACAGUAUCUUUGUAUCUAAAGAUCUUUUAUUUGAUAAGAGAUAUUUAUAUGUGUGUGUGCGUGUGUGUGUGUGUGUGUGCAAUUUACAUUGUGUCGAUUUCUAUUUACGACAUAUCGGAAUUUCGCUUAAUAAUACAAAUAAUUACCCCGAGAGAAACAGAGAUUUAAUAACGAUUAGAAAUAAUUACGAUCUGUCGUGUAAAAUGAGAGGCUUAUGAC